rnacentral:rRNA from 1 species
UACUAACUCUGGCGGCGUGCUUAACACAUGCAAGUCGAACGGAAAGGCCCUGCUUUUGUGGGGUGCUCGAGUGGCGAACGGGUGAGUAACACGUGAGUAACCUGCCCUUGACUUUGGGAUAACUUCAGGAAACUGGGGCUAAUACCGGAUAGGAGCUCCUGCUGCAUGGUGGGGGUUGGAAAGUUUCGGCGGUUGGGGAUGGACUCGCGGCUUAUCAGCUUGUUGGUGGGGUAGUGGCUUACCAAGGCUUUGACGGGUAGCCGGCCUGAGAGGGUGACCGGCCACAUUGGGACUGAGAUACGGCCCAGACUCCUACGGGAGGCAGCAGUGGGGAAUAUUGCACAAUGGGCGGAAGCCUGAUGCAGCAACGCCGCGUGCGGGAUGACGGCCUUCGGGUUGUAAACCGCUUUCGCCUGUGACGAAGCGUGAGUGACGGUAAUGGGUAAAGAAGCACCGGCUAACUACGUG